GUAGAUACACAAAUUAAAGAUUGCAGUUGCCGCAUCUUUCUUGCCUCUUGGGCUACCUCGGCGUAGCAGAUCAACAAGUGCAGGUAUUGCGCCAGCUGCCCCAAUUAUCACCUUGUUUUCAUCUACAACUGAUAAACUGAAAAGGGUAGCUGCAGCAUUUUCCUUUGCCUCCAUGCUCCCAUUUUGCAGCACACCUACUAUCCUCGGUAUUGCAUGGGCAUUCACAAUAUUGUCCUUGUUGCUAUCAUUGAUUGAGAGGUUGAGGAGUGCUGUAACUGCAUGCUCCUGUGUUCUAGGAUCCGAAGACGAUAGGAGUUCCACAAGGAAUGGAAUUGCACCUGCUUCAGCAAUGCAUACUCUAUUGUUUGCAUUUCUUUUUGCAAGCAGCCGCAGUUCGCCUGCAGCUGCCCUCUGCUCGUCCUGAUUCCCACUUUUUAAUUUCUGCAGUAGUGAGUUUAUACCAGCACGAUCGCAAUCCGAGUGACGUCCCGGCUUCUUGUCUCGGCAAUUCCCUUGCUUGUUUGGCAGAUCAAUGCCGUUGGCAUCACACCAUUGCGCAAUGAGGCUUCUCAGGACAAAAUUAGGGGUAAGAGCAGUGUUAGACAGGUUUUGCUGUGUCUUGGGGCAAGUUCUGUGUCCAGCAUCAAGCCAUUUCUGGAUGCAAGACCUCUCAUAGGUCUGUGCCAAGCAGAAAGAUACAAAUAACUUAUACAAGACUAUUUAAAAAAAAAAAGAAAAAAAAAUCAUGUUCUUAUAAGAUUUUGAUAAUUAUUACCUGCCCUGUGGAGACAAUGACAGGGUCCUUCAUCAGCUCGAGGGAAAUUGGGCACCGAAAAUCAUCUGGAAUGAUAGGAGAUCUGUGAUUCACAGAGCUUGUAUUAUUUUUGACAGUAUCAGAAGUUGGAUUUUCCACGACUACACAAUCUUUAAGCUUCUUCAGCAAGGAUGACAUUUCGUCCACGCAUUCCUCAGGCUCUCCACCACUAGAAAUUACCAUUUCAUGUAAAGCAACCGAUUCCUUCUUCAUCUCAUUUAUCGUGCUGAGUUGCAACUUCCCUGAAAUUCUUCUAAGGAUAAUAGGGUCACAGUGCUUUUCAGCAAGUGCCCAAUUCAAGUCGCUGAGAAGUUGUAGAUCGGGCGAGUCAAUUUUUCCUUUUGCUCUUCGAAGCUGGGCAUGCACAAGUUCAAUCUGGAAAAUUUUAAAAAGUUAGUAUUCAGCCAUAAUUCUUAAUCAAAUUACCAAAUACAUACCAUAUGAAUGUAGCUGAAAAGUAUACUAGCAGAAAAAAUGUGGGACACAUGCAUGGAUGAUGGUGGGGACAAGUCAAAGAAAGGAAUAUGGCAUAUGGGAUCUUUUGACAUUCGAGAAAACCACAUAUCUGUGCAUAUAACUUUCACAUGUACACAUUGGCUUGCUUGGGUGGGGUGGGGUGGGGAUGGAUGGAGAUGUUGUGUUGUGUCUUACCAAUCUUUUCUUGUUGCCAGUUGUUCUUUUAGACUCAAUGGCUCGCAAGUCUAUCCGGCUGUAUUAGCCCUCUUCAACAAAAUGAAUCAAAACAGUCAAAAGAGAAGGGAAAGCUUCAUUUAUUUAUAUUUGCGUUCGAUUGCUCAACUAAACCCAAAUUGGACCACCACAAAAGGACAAGAAAAAGGCAGUGAUUGGAUGUGCAAAGUUCUUGUCCUUGCUGAAAUACAAAAGGGCAACAUCUAUUGUGGCUAUCCAUAUCUAUAGUCUGCUGCUAGUGCAGGUACAAUAGUUAUUAUUCAUGCCAUCAGCUAUGUGAUAGAAGAAAUUGACUUUCAAAACAUUGCAUAUAAUAUGCAUGUAAUAACUAUAUAAUUUUUUUUUCUCAUUUUCCAUCCAACUUAUCCAAGCAAUAUUUUUUCAGAAUAAGUGAGGCACAGGAAACAUGGAGGGAGGGACAUGUCAUGGCAGUGAGGAAUCAGCUUUUUUUAAAAAAAAAAAAAAAAUCUUUUCUUGAGGAAAGAGGAGGCAGCAACACAAAAUGCAUGUGAUUAAUAAAACUAGACACAUUUUCAUAAGAGUAUUGGUGCUCCAGAUAU
rnacentral:lncRNA from 1 species